rnacentral:rRNA from 1 species
GUAGGUGGCAAGCGUUGUCCGGGAAUUAUUGGGGCGUAAAGCGCGCGCAGGCGGGUUUUUUAAGUCUGAUGUGAAAGCCCACGGGCUCAACCGUGGGAGGGGUCAUUGGAAACUGGAGAACUUGAGUGCAGAAGAGGAGAGCGGAAUUCCACGUGUAGCGGUGAAAUGCGUAGAGAUGUGGAGGAACACCAGUGGCGAAGGCGGCUCUCUGGUCUGUAACUGACGCUGAGGCGCGAAAGCGUGGGGAGCAAACAGGAUUAGAUACCCUGGUAGUCCACGCCGUAAACGAUGAGUGCUAAGUGUUAGAGGGUUUCCGCCCUUUAGUGCUGCAGCAAACGCAUUAAGCACUCCGCCUGGGGAGUACGGUCGCAAGACUG